CUUCCGGGUCGGCCACUGAAAACUGCUCCUCUGGGUUUUGUAUCUUGAAAACCCUUUGAAAGAACUGAGGAUGUUGCCCUGGAGAACAUCCCACUAAAGGAAUGUAUAGAAGUGGCAGGAGAAAGAUACUGCUAACUGAAGAAACAUUUGAAAAGAGCUCGGAGCUCUGUUAUCUCAGGGAAGAUGAAACAUUUUCAAGGAGGGAGUUCACAAAGAAACUUCUAUCACAUUAGCUCUUCUCAAGAGAGAAUGGGCUAACUGAGCACCUUCCACCUUCCCUUGGAGGGACUGGCAAUGAAGUUGGAGAAGGCAGCCGACUUUGCAAAAGCAGUUCAGUGAAAAGCGAGAAGAAAUUUUAACUACCCUGAAAGAGCUGAAGACAUUCGACACACAUGUGCCUCUCCCUUAGGUUUCAGACUCUGGAAGUGGAUCCCUUGGAACAGGAAAAAGUGAAAUGAUGAUGCCCUGGUACCAGCUGGAGAGGGGACUUGUCUUCAGGAUGAGAUUUCAUCCAGUUCUGACAACUUGCUCUAAAGACCGAGUGGAGAUAAGGCGGGUCAAUGAUGGGAAAGAGGAGUACUCAGUUAUGACUAUCAUAAGCCCUCUGUUUAAACCUAAACCUCAUGUACUGUAUGCCCUCUGUUUAAACCUAAACCUCAUGUCCAGACCCUGAAGAUGGCUUGAGAGGUGUGUCAGUGGACCUCCUCAUGUACUCCUCUUCCUACCAUGACCAUAAAUAACCUUUCUCUGCUCUUGGAUUCCUUGGGUAAGGAUGGGUGGUGAAGCCCAGUUUGUUAGGCCUACCAGAGACCAGACUCUGACCCUAAUAG